rnacentral:lncRNA from 1 species
AUGGUCGGGCAAAACCUGCAUCUCCUGUUGCGCUGCAGAUUCCUCUUCGUCUGUCCUGGAUCGGCCCGAGUUUCUGUCCCUGUGCUGUCCAGAACCGAGCGGAGCUUUGGUCCUCAAAGGUGCCUCAGAGGACAGAGAGAGUUUGUCCAGGUGCUCCGUGAUGGGGGCAGCUCUCGGAUGCUGCGGCCUGGUCCUGCCUCCUCUCCUCGGUCCCCUCAUCUGGUUCUGACGUCUCUGGCCCUGAACUCCUCUGGAGUGGGACUUUCCGGGAGUAAACGGAUCCGCUCGCACACUGGUGUCAUUGGAGGAGGACACCGGGGCGUCUGGAGGAACUUCAGCCUCCUGGUUUCCAUCUUCAGCAGCAGCACUAUCAUAACCAGCAUUUCCUGCGCGUCGGUGGGACCGUUUCUCAGAAACUACUUUUCCAUCGUCUGCCUAAACCCGUCCGCAUCUUUUCUGACAUCUCAUCAAAAAGAGAUUCUCCUCCUGGAAGCAGCGAUGCGCAUGACUGCAGGAGCUCGGCGUCUGAAUCGGGUCUCACCUCGUUGAUGUGAAUCAGGAAGCGGUUGGACUCCACCUCGGGGUCAAUGAUGCCUCCUUUAGACCUCUGCUUUUCCAGGAUCCUCUGGAGCUCCGCCCACUUCUGCUGAAAGUCUGCGCCGAACGCCUCGCCGUGGAACUGCGGGGGGAGAAACAAACCGAGUCCACGUUCUGCUUUCCGCUGCAAACAUCUGCAUCGUCGCUUUACCUCGGGCAGCUGAGGGGCGGGAGACGACAGAAGGUGGUCGAGGUCGUAGGUCAGAGUCUCUCUGCACACCGGACACACCACGGUCAGCUCCUGUCAGAGCGGUCAGAGGGGUUUCAGCUUUCUCUCCUUUGCACCGUUUCUCAGCAGACCUCAUCUGACCUGGUGCUCCGCUCGCUCUCGGGUCUUGUCCUCCUCCAGCUCCCUCUCCCUCUGCUGGAGCUCCGCCUCCGAGUGGCGGACGUAGCGGCCGAGGCAGUGGGAGUGGAAGUAGUGGUAGCAGCUGGUCUUGGUGAAGGCCUCCCCCUCCUGAGGAGCACACGCACACUUACAGCAGCAGACGACCACGGCGAUCCGCCAACUUCAAACGCCGUACCUUAAAAUCGUAAAGACAUAUGACGCAGUUUCCAUGAGGAAUGUUGCUCUCAGUCAGGAUCUCUUUCGCUUUCUGGAGAGGAGAAGUUUUCACGUUUAAGCGGUAAAAAAACCCAGCAGACAUGUCUUUGUACUGAAGAUUUGGCAUAUGAACCUCAAUGAGCUGAUAUAAGAUGGCAGAACCCAGACACGACGCGGCCUCCAGCUGAAGACACGCCUGCACGCUGCGUGAGACGACCACAGAGGAUCAGCACAGCUGGAAGACGUCACCGUGACGCCACUAAGAGCCGCUUUGUUACCUGCUGAGUUUGUCAUCGGACAGGCCGCGGGGGUUACGGAUGGAGAUGACCGGAGGGGAGCAGGGGUACUGAAGGAGGACACAAACACGUUACCGCUGCGGCGCCGGCGCCUGUCGCAGAGCGCCUGCAGGGACGGGCCUACCUGCUGAUCCAGGGUCAGCGUCAGGGUGAGACGCACAAACUGAGAGACGGCGUCCUGUCCUGUCGACGGGUGCAGAACCAGACUCACCUCCCAGCCUCUUGAGCAACAACACAACUGUUAACAGACUGACACACAAACACAACUGCAGGCAUGAAUUCAGACCAACACAAAAAAACAUUCCAGAGAUGAUGUCUGUUCCAGGACUCCCUUUGAAGAUCCACUCCCAUGAAAAUGCUGUUUCUGUUUUUCUGAUGAUGGGGGGCAUUUAUAAAGAAAAUUAAGCUUAAAACUAUAUUUCUGAGUAUUUAUUUAUUCAGAUUGCUCUGAAUCAGGACCAGAUGAAGAAAUACAGAUGGAAGAAUACGGUAUUUGUGCGCUGGGCGGGGCCACAAGCUUCCUGCUCCGCCCCUUUUCUGAUGCACCCACUGUCAGACAAAUGGAUCCAUGAACGUCUUUGUUUUCCUCGUCUGAACUGAAAUCCGGAUCUAAACUGUACGGCUAGUUAGCUCUGAUGCUGCUUUCAGGUUUCUACUGAACAUUGUCUGAGCGCGGCACGUGUGGUUUUGUUAUGAUAAACGGAAACGGCUCAUAGAAAACUCCUCCGGUGUCACGAGGCUUCCUGAGGCUUCCAGAUUUCUCAUCGCUGACGCCGAAGGUCGCAGUCGGGAGCGGUGGUGAGGAGCCCCCCCCCCCCCCCCCCCAACACUUUCUGACAGCAGCAGCUCCAGAGAUGGGAGGAAGUCAGAGACCCUCUGGGUCAUGAACCCGAUGGUUCUGCCCUCCAGCUUCCACCUCCCCUCUCCUCUCAGUUUGAACCGAACUGUGCUUCUCCUCUCAGCACUUUAGCAUCACAGCUGACUGCAUGUGCUGUUGCCAUGGAGACCACCAGCAUCCUAUCCCCAUCUGAGCCCUGACACAAAAACUGUGAUGCAGCUCCUCCCCUGGAGUCAGUGAGGAGCAGCAUCACCUCUCUGCAGGAGGUCCACCAGAACUCCUCUGUUCAACCACAGAAAGGAGGCGUAACUGGUUAGAAUCCAGCUAAAGGAAGCAUCACUUUUCCAGUCAGAUGAUGUCAGAUCCACAGCAGGACUCCAUUUUGGUGGAAUCUCCCUGUUUUUUCAUGGAUUGUAGAGACAGACUUCACGAUUUUACCCGGAAAUGAAACAUAAAAACCUGCGUUGUGGUUUUUGUCAAAGCGUUUCGCAUCUCAGAGACUUUUCUGUGCCGAGAAAUCUUCAUUUUAUAACAGAUUAAAGGAAAAGAACCGAAAAGAAGCACGCAGAUCCGGUUCCUCACCCGUCCUGCUUCCGGUCCACCUGCAGGUCCUCCAGGUAAAUGGACUGCAGCACCUCGAUCUCCGACUGAACACUGCGGACAGAGAACAGCUGAUUGGAGUGUUACUGUUUCAUAAGCAGCUGUUCGUUAGCUUUCCUUUAGCUAACUGUCCCGUUUCUGAUAAACGUGACAAACGGGACUCAGAUUAAAGAGAUAAUUAUGUGACGCGAGAUUAAAUCAUCUCUGUUUGAUUUUUUUUUAAAGUCGUUUAAAGACAAAUCAAAGGAACUGUCGAGACACUCACUCGCUCUCCACGGCCAUCAUGUUUCUGCUGCCGACUAGCGGAAGUUACGUCAUUUAUCUGACUUUCAAAACAAAAG